rnacentral:rRNA from 1 species
UACGAAGGGGGCUAGCGUUGUUCGGAUUUACUGGGCGUAAAGCGCACGUAGGCGGAUUGUUAAGUGAGAGGUGAAAUCCCGGAGCUCAACCCCGGAACUGCCUCAGAUACUGACGGUCUCGAGGGAGGUAGGGGCGAGCGGAACUGAUGGUGGAGCGGUGAAAUGCGUUGAUAUCAUCAGGAACUCCGGUGGCGAAGGCGGCUCGCUGGACCUUUUCUGACGCUGAGGCGCGAAAGCUAGGGGAGCAAACGGGG